GUGGAAUUGAGCUGUUGGAGAGCUGAGUGGUGUGGAUGCUGACAAGGACCAGGGAAGAACCCCACAGCUGGAAUAUCAUCAGCGUCCUGAACUUUGAAUAGCCACUUGGGAUGAAAAGAAGCAACAAAGAGAUCCACAUAUUUUAAAAAAAUACAAGUCUAAAGGUUGGAUGACCCACUUUCUCUGCAGGUGAUGCUAAUGCUUCUCAGUAUAUGACACGGAGAAGAAGGUGACCUGAAAUGGUGCAAGUCAUUGGAAAGGUGGGACUUAAUCCUUGCAUAGACAUUAUGUCUUUUCCACGGAGUGGUGAAAUUCAUCCUGCAGCAGCUCACCUCAGCACCAUGUUUAGUACUCCAAAAGUGGUUCAUGAGUGCUUUCUCCCAACUCUCAUCCACACCCCUCUGGCUCUGAAUGCUGAAUUAUAAUUGUAUUAUUUUAUUACUUCAAGGGAAACUGUUUCAAUAACAAAAUACAGAGAAGUUCAAACAUCAAAUUAUUGUCAAGGAAGAAUGGACCUCAAAUCAUCUUGGAGGUGAAAAUAUAAAAUAGAAACAUUGAGCUUUUAAAAUAAUUACAUGUAAUGUAAAUAUUACUGGCAUAGUAUCACAUUAUAAGAUCAUCUGACAGUACACUGAUUCAAAAUGAGACAGUAAUGAAACAGACAUGUCUAUAUCAAGUCCAUUUAUACUGUUUUCAGGAGCAAAUUUCUUAGUCUUGGGGAAACAAAAAUGAUUUACCAUCACCCUGGUCACAAAACACAGUUUUCCUGGUCUUUAUUCAACUGAAAUUUUGUGGGAAAGUGUGUAGAAGCAAGAAAGGCUAAGAACAAAAUUGAGCAUGGAGAAGUAGUAGUUCUUGAUACAUGAGGAGUUUUUAAAACAUCUGAAAAGAUAUUAUAUGUAGUAAGAAAGAGAUUUAUAAUACUUGAUUCAUGAACCUCUCCUGAUCAUGAGAUGAUGCAAACAUUAUAAUCACAGAUUAUGUUGAUUAUUAUUAUUUAUUUAUUACCAUAUAUUACAGUAGCAUCCAAAAGCCCCAGUCAAGACUGGGGUCUCAUUGUACUAGGUACUUCAUCAAUAUAUAAGAAAGACACCUGAAAGUUGUGGGAAAUCUAAUAUAUGGAUGUUGGAAGUUUUUCUACAUGGUUUUCAAAGAUUCCUACUCUUUCAUGUAAAAGGAAAUUAUCUUUGGUCAAAGAAGCACCUCUAUUAUAAUUAUAUUUUAUAUCACUCUUUGUUUGGUUGGAUUUUAACAUUUUAACUUGAAUUCACUUUAUUUGAACUGAGGUUAAUGCCAAUAAUAAUCCAUUAGCUGUCCAUCAAAUCAAAACAUCUGAAGUAAUAAAGGAAGUCAUUUUUCUCAAGUACAGUGUCUAUUUUGACUACCCAGUCAGGACUUGAGCAUCAGUUUCUAAAUUUAUAUUCUUGCAAAGUUCAAGUAGUGUUGUGUUUUUUCCAUCCCGCAAGUACACUUUAAAAAUUUGUAAUGUAGUAUAUGUAAUUCUUUACAACUGAUUUAUUGUGCAAACAAUAAAAAACAAUUACAGUUAAUCCCUUUCUUUCCUAUGAUUUCAAUUUUAAAAAUCUCCCUCUUUAAUACUCAAUG